AUUGAACGCUGGCGGCAGGCCUAACACAUGCAAGUCGAACGGCAGCGGGGGAUAGCUUGCUAUCCUGCCGGCGAGUGGCGGACGGGUGAGUAAUGCAUGGGGAGCUGCCCAGUCGAGGGGGAUAACAACUGGAAACGGUUGCUAAUACCGCAUACGCCCUAAGGGGGAAAGGUGGGGAACGUCGGUCCUACCGCGAUUGGAUGCGCCCAUGUGGGAUUAGCUAGUUGGUGAGGUAACGGCUCACCAAGGCGACGAUCUCUAGCUGGUCUGAGAGGAUGACCAGCCACACUGGAACUGAGACACGGUCCAGACUCCUACGGGAGGCAGCAGUGGGGAAUAUUGCACAAUGGGGGAAACCCUGAUGCAGCCAUGCCGCGUGUGUGAAGAAGGCCUUCGGGUUGUAAAGCACUUUCAGUCAGGAGGAAGGGGUGAUGGCUAAUAUCCAUCAUCAUUGACGUUACUGACAGAAGAAGCACCGGCUAACUCCGUGCCAGCCGACGCAGUAA
rnacentral:rRNA from 1 species